rnacentral:rRNA from 1 species
CCAUGCCGCGUGUGUGAAGAAGGCUUUUGGUUGUAAAGCACUUUAAGCGGGGAGGAGGCUACUUAGAUUAAUACUCUAGGAUAGUGGACGUUACCCGCAGAAUAAGCACCGGCUAACUCUGUGCCAGCAGCCGCGGUAAUACAGAGGGUGCGAGCGUUAAUCGGAUUUACUGGGCGUAAAGCGUGCGUAGGUGGUCUUUUAAGUCGGAUGUGAAAUCCCUGAGCUUAACUUANGAAUUGCAUUCGAUACUGGGAGACUAGAGUAUGGGAGAGGAUGGUAGAAUUCCAGGUGUAGCGGUGAAAAUGCGUAGAGAUCUGGGAGGAAAUACCGAUGGCGAAAGCAGCCAUCUGGCCUAAUACUGACACUGAGCACGAAAGCAUGGGGGAGCAACAAGAAUUAGAUACCCUGGUANUCCAUGCCGUAANCGAUGUCUACUAGCGUUGGGGUCUUUGAG